GCAUAUCAAUAAGCGGAGGAAAAGAAACCAACAGGGAUUGCCCUAGUAACGGCGAGUGAAGCGGCAACAGCUCAAAUUUGAAAUCUGGCUCUUUCAGGGUCCGAGUUGUAAUUUGCAGAGGGCGCUUUGGUGUUGGCAGCGGUCCAAGUUCCUUGGAACAGGACGUCACAGAGGGUGAGAAUCCCGUACGUGGUCGCUAGCCUCCGCCGUGUAAAGCCCCUUCGACGAGUCGAGUUGUUUGGGAAUGCAGCUCUAAAUGGGAGGUAAAUUUCUUCUAAAGCUAAAUACUGGCCAGAGACCGAUAGCGCACAAGUAGAGUGAUCGAAAGAUGAAAAGCACUUUGGAAAGAGAGUCAAAUAGCACGUGAAAUUGUUGAAAGGGAAGCGCUUGCAGCCAGACUUGCCUGUAGUUGCUCAUCCGGGCUUUUGCCCGGUGCACUCUUCUAUAGGCAGGCCAGCAUCAGUUUGGGCGGUUGGAUAAAGGUCUCUGUCAUGUACCUCUCUUCGGGGAGGCCUUAUAGGGGAGACGACAUGCAACCAGCCUGGACUGAGGUCCGCGCAUUUGCUAGGAUGCUGGCGUAAUGGCUGUAAGCGGCCCGUCUUGAAACACGGACCAAGGAGUCUAACAUCUAUGCGAGUGUUUGGGUGUCAAGCCCGAACGCGUAAUGAAAGUGAACGGAGGUGGGAACCCCUUUGGGGCGCACCAUCGACCGAUCCUGAUGUCUUCGGAAGGAUUUGAGUAAGAGCAUGGCUGUUGGGACCCGAAAGAUGGUGAACUAUGCUUGAAUAGGGUGAAGCCAGAGGAAACUACUGGUGGAGGCUCGCAGCGGUUCUGACGUGCAAAUCGAUCGUCAAAUUUGGGCAUAGGGGGCGAAAGACUAAUCGAACUAUCUAGUAGCUGGUUCCUGCCGAAG
rnacentral:rRNA from 1 species